UACAGAGGUCUCGAGCGUUGUUCGGAUUCAUUGGGCGUAAAGGGUGUGUAGGUGGCGCCGUAAGUCGGGUGUGAAAUUUCGGAGCUUAACUCCGAAACUGCAUUCGAUACUGCGGUGCUUGAGGACUGGAGAGGAGACUGGAAUUCAUGGUGUAGCAGUGAAAUGCGUAGAGAUCAUGAGGAAGACCAGUGGCGAAGGCGGGUCUCUGGACAGUUCCUGACACUGAGACACGAAGGCCAGGGGAGCAAACGGG
rnacentral:rRNA from 1 species